rnacentral:rRNA from 1 species
GUGUCAGCAGCCGCGGUAAUACGGAGGGGGCAAGCGUUGUCCGGACUUACUGGGCGUAAAGGGUCCGUAGGCGGCCAGCUGCGUCGCUGCUGAAAGCGCCCCGCUUAACGGGGCGAGGCGUGGCGAUACGAGCUGGCUUGAGGAAGGCAGAGGGUGGCGGAAUUCCGGGUGUAGUGGUGAAAUGCGUAGAGAUCCGGAGGAACGCCUGUGGCGCAAGCGGCCACCUGGGCCUUAUCUGACGCUGAGGGACGAAAGCGUGGGGAGCAAACCGGAUUAGAUACCCGGGUAGUCC